rnacentral:rRNA from 1 species
UGUCGUCAGCUCGUGUCGUGAGAUGUUGGGUUAAGUCCCGCAACGAGCGCAACCCCUAUCAACAGUUGCCAUCAUUAAGUUGGGAACUCUGUUGAGACUGCCGUUGAUAAAACGGAGGAAGGUGGGGAUGAUGUCAAGUCAUCAUGGCCUUUAUGUUCAGGGCUACACACGUGCUACAAUGGACGGUACAAAACGUCGCGAUCCUGCAAGGGGGAGCUAAUCGCAAAAACCGUUCUCAGUUCGGAUUGAAGUCUGCAACUCGACUUCA